rnacentral:rRNA from 1 species
UGCCAGCAGCCGCGGUAAGGCGGGAGAUGCAAGCGUUAUUCGGAUUUAUUGGGUUUAAAGGGUCCGUAGGCGGAUUUUUAAGUCAGUGGUGAAAGUCGACAGCUCAACUGUCGAACUGCCAUUGAUACUGGAAAUCUUGAGUACAAAUGAAGUAGGCGGAAUGAGUCAUGUAGCGGUGAAAUGCAUAGAUAUUACACAGAAUACCAAUUGCGAAGGCAGAUUACUAACAAUUAACUGACGCUGAGGGACGAAAGCGUGGGUAGCGAACAGGAUUAGGUA